GACAGAGGGUGCAAACGUUUGUUCGGAAUUACUGGGCGUAAAGCGCGUGUAGGCGGCCCUGCAAGUCGGAUGUGAAAUCCCACGGCUCAACCGUGGAAGUGCAUUCGAAACUGCAGGGCUAGAGUCCUGGAGAGGAAGGUGGAAUGCUUGGUGUAGAGGUGAAAUUCGUAGAUAUCAAGCGGAACACCGGUGGCGAAGGCGGCCUUCUGGACAGUGACUGACGCUGAGACGGCGAAAAGCGUGGGGAGCAAAC
rnacentral:rRNA from 1 species